rnacentral:rRNA from 1 species
UACGUAGGGGGCGAGCGUUGUCCGGAGUUACUGGGCGUAAAGGGCGUGCAGGCGGUGCGGCAAGUUUGGAGUGACAGUUCCCGGCUCAACUGGGAAAGGCCUCUGAAAACUGCUGGACUUGAGGGCCAGAGAGGGACAUAGAAUUCCGGGUGGAGUGGUGAAAUGCGUAGAUAUCCGGAGGAAUACCAAAGGCGAAGGCAGUGUCCUGGCUGGCAUCUGACGCUGAGGCGCGAAAGCUAGGGGAGCGAACAGGAUUAGAUACCCUGGUAGUCCUAGCCGUAAACGAUGACCACUAGAUGUGCGGGGUAUCGACCCCCUGCGUGUCGGAGGAAACCUAUUAAGUGGUCCGCCUGGGGAGUACGGUCGCAAGAUUAAA